rnacentral:rRNA from 1 species
GACGAACGCUGGCGGCGUGCCUAACACAUGCAAGUCGAGCGGAGGUAUGAUGUAGUUUACUACUGAGUACUUUAGCGGCGGACGGGUGAGUAACACGUGGGCAACCUGCCUCAAAGAGGGGGAUAACACCGAGAAAUCGGUGCUAAUACCGCAUAACAUCAGCACACCACCUGGUGAGCUGAUCAAAGGAGUAAUCCGCUUUGAGAUGGGCCCGCGGCUGAUUAGCUAGUUGGUGAGGUAAUGGCUCACCAAGGCGACGAUCAGUAGCCGACCUGAGAGGGUGACCGGCCACACUGGAACUGAGACACGGUCCAGACUCCUACGGGAGGCAGCAGUGGGGAAUAUUGCGCAAUGGGGGAAACCCUGACGCAGCAACGCCGCGUGGAGGAAGAAGGUCUUCGGAUUGUAAACUCCUGUCUUCAGGGACGAAUAAUGACGGUACCUGAGGAGGAAGCCACGGCUAACUACGUGCCAGCAGCCGCGGUAAUACGUAGGUGGCGAGCGUUGUCCGGAAUUAUUGGGCGUAAAGGGCGCGUAGGCGGCUCUUUAAGUCAGAUGUGAAAACCCAGGGCUUAACUCUGGGAGUGCAUUUGAAACUGAAGGGCUUGAGUGCAGGAGAGGUAAGUGGAAUUCCUAGUGACGGGAAAUCGUA